rnacentral:rRNA from 1 species
GGGAAUCCGGAAGACAGGUGCUGCAUGGCUGUCGUCAGCUCGUGUCGUGAGAUGUUGGGUUAAGUCCCGCAACGAGCCGCAAACCCCUAUCUUUAGUUGCCAUCAUUAAGUUGGGCACUCUAAAGAGACUGCCGGUGUCAAAACCGGGAGGAAGGUGGGGAUGACGUCAAGUCCUCAUGGCCCUUAUGACCAGAGCUACACACGUGCUACAAUGGCCGGUACAAAGAGUUGCGAUACCGCGAGGUGGAGCUAAUCUCAUAAAGCCGGUCUCAGUUCGGAUUGGAGUCUGCAACUCGACUCCAUGAAGUUGGAAUCGCUAGUAAUCGCGGAUCAGCAUGCCGCGGUCGAAUACGUUCCCGGGCCUU